UCUAUGGGACACUUUCUCAUAUUAGAUUUACCAAGAUAGCCUCCAACUAAGAUAAAGGUGUCUCUUGUUAGUCCAUCCAACUAACCAAACUGAUAUAACCUAUUUACCUUUUUAAAAAGAAAUAAAACAUUUCUUCUUCUAAUAAUCUUAUCUCUAUCUUCACAAAAUCAAUUAUCGUGUAAAGACUCAGAGAGAUGAACUCUAAUUUUUUUCUCCCUAGACAUCUUAUAGAUCCAGAAAUCGAACUCCGAAAUUGAAUCCAAAUCAAAC
rnacentral:lncRNA from 1 species